CAGUCUCACGCUGGGGUCUCUCGGACCCCGUGAGGCAGGGCGCUGAAAAACUGUUCUUUUUUUUUUUGGGUGUACCUUGGGUCACGCGGACCCCGCGAGGCAGGGUUCGGAACUAUGCUUUGUCCAGGUUCACGCUGGGGUCUCGCUGACCCCGCGAGGCAGGGUUCGGAACUAAGUUCUGUUCAGGCUCACGCUGGGGUCCCGCGGACCCGGAGAGGCAGGGUUCGGAACAAUGUUCUGUUCAGGCUCACGCUGGGGUCCCGCGGACCCGGAGAGGCAGCGUUCGGAACUAAGUUCUGUUCAGGCUCACGCUGGGGUCCCGCGGACCCGGAGAGGCAGGGUUCGGAACUAAGUUCUGUUCAGGCUCAAGCUUGGGUCUCUCGGACCCCGUGAGGCAGGGUGCUGAAAAACUGUUCUUUUUUAUGGUGUACCUUGGGUCACACGGACACCACGAGGCAGGGUUCGGAACUAUGCUUUGUCCAGGUUCACGCUGGGGUCUCGCUGACCCCGCGAGGCAGGGUUCGGAACUAAGUUCUGUUCAGGCUCACGCUGGGGUCCCCCGGACCCGGAGAGGCAGGGUUCGGAACUAAGUUCUGUUCAGGCUCACGCUGGGGUCCCGCGGACCCGGAGAGGCAGAGUUCGGAACUAAGUUCUGUUCAGGCUCACGCUUGGGUCUCUCGGACCCCGUGAGGCAGGGCGCUGAAAAACUGUUCUUUUUUUUUUUUGUGUACCUUGGGUCACGCGGACCCCGCGAGGCAGGGUUCGGAACUACGCUUUCUCCAGGUUAACGCUGGGGUCUCGCUGACCCCGCGAGGCAGGGUUCGGAACUAUGCUUUGUCCAGGUUCACGCUGGGGUCUCGCUGACCCCGCGAGGCAGGGUUCGGAACUAAGUUCUGUUCAGGCUCACGCUGGGGUCCCGCGGACCCGGAGAGGCAGAGUUCGGAACUAAGUUCUGUUCAGGCUCAAGCUUGGGUCUCUCGGACCCCGUGAGGCAGGGCGCUGAAAAACUGUUCUUUUUUUUUUUGGUGAACCUUGUGUCACGCGGACCCCGCGAGGCAGGGUUCGGAACUAUGCUUUGUCCAGGUUCACGCUGGGGUCUCGCUGACCCCACGAGGCAGGGUUCGGAACUAAGUUCUGUUCAGGCUCACGCUGGGGUCCCGCGGACCCGGAGAGGCAGAGUUCGGAACUAAGUUCUGUUCAGGCUCACGCUUGGGUCUCUCGGACCCCGUGAGGCAGGGCGCUGAAAAACUGUUCUUUUUUUUUUUUUGGUGUACCUUGGGUCACGCGGACCCCGCGAGGCAGGGUUCGGAACUACGCUUUGUCCAUGUUCACGCUGGGGUCUCGCUGACCCAGCGAGGCAGCGCGGGGAACAAAUGCAUCACUUUAGUGUACCUUGUGGUCACGCGGACCCGCCGAGGCAGACCUCGGAACUAAGUUUUGUUCAGGUUUACGCUGGGGUCUCUCAGAUCCCGCAUUUCAGCGCACUGAACAAAUUCAUCUUUUUAGUGCACCUUGGGGUCACACAGGCCCAGGGAGGCAGGGUUUGGAACUACGUUUUGUCGAGGUUCAUGAUGAACUAUAUUUUGUUUUAUUUUAUGUUGGGGUCUCACGGACCCCGCCAGGCAGCGCUCUGAACAAAUGUGGUGUUUUAGUGUACCUUGGCUAGGUUUUGUUCAUGUUUAUGCUUGGGUCCCGGGACCCUGCGAAUUAGCGCUCGGAACUAUAUUUGUUGAGGUUUCUGUCUCGCGAACCCAACAAGGCAGGGUGCAAAACUAUUUAUUUACCUAAGUCUAAGGUGGGUUCCAUAUAACCCCAACAACCAGCGCGUAGAACACUUUUCUGUUUUGUUUUAGUUUACAAUGUGGUUUUAUGUUCCCAACAAGUGAGCGUGGAAAACUUUUUAAUAUUUUAUACUAUUUAUUUUUUUUACAAUUUGACUUUUCUUGGUGAGGGACUAAUGUCAGACUCUGUCUGUGGUGGUCGGACUCUCAGAACUUAGGUCAGAGUCCCUAAACUGCGGUCGGCAACUCUGAAUCAGAGUAAGCUACAAUUCAUUUUUUUUUUUUUCUUAAUCCGACUUCUAUCUUAGGGUUUUAAAAGCUACUGACUCUUGCAGACUUUCCAAACACAUUCCUUUUCCUGAGUGUGGGCAGCAUGAUAGUUCUUCGGACACUUUCGUUUCUCUUUCUACUCUGCUGGUGCUACGGUGGCGAGCGGGAGGACGGGGCCAUCAAAGCAAACCCAAUGAUGAUCGGUUCCGAAAAAACGGUGACCAACAUCCUACAGGGUCCAGCCAAUUUGCCACAAGUGAUGCAGUGUCACCGAAUACAGAAGCGCAGUUGCAGGGGUACCUGGAGGCCACGUCUUGCUUGGGAACACCUCAACACUGUCCCUGAACGUCAUGUUCCCAUCUGCCAGCCCACCGCGUCCUGGCGCAGACAGAGGCCAGACGGCUGGCUCGUUUGCACGGAUGAGAUACGCAAUUCCGCGUCCAGGCUUAACUCAGAACCAGGCAACAUUAUCAAAGCGCUCCACCGUUGGGCUUCCUCGAAGGGGACUGGCUGAGCUGUACCAGCGGAAGGGUUUCUAUGCCACUCGCACUUUAGGCAUACCCAUUGCUGCUAGUACUCAACCCGGCGCGUGACGGCUUUGUGGAUUGAGUACCUUAAAAAAAAAAAA